AUUGAACGCUGGCGGCAGGCCUAACACAUGCAAGUCGAGCGGAUGAAGGGAGCUUGCUCCUAGAUUCAGCGGCGGACGGGUGAGUAAUGCCUAGGAAUCUGCCUGGUAGUGGGGGAUAACGUCCGGAAACGGGCGCUAAUACCGCAUACGUCCUGAGGGAGAAAGUGGGGGAUCUUCGGACCUCACGCUAUCAGAUGAGCCUAGGUCGGAUUAGCUAGUUGGUGGGGUAAAGGCCUACCAAGGCGACGAUCCGUAACUGGUCUGAGAGGAUGAUCAGUCACACUGGAACUGAGACACGGUCCAGACUCCUACGGGAGGCAGCAGUAGAGAAUAUUGGACAAUGGGCGAAAGCCUGAUCCAGCCAUGCCGCGUGUGUGAAGAAGGUCUUCGGAUUGUAAAGCACUUUAAGUUGGGAGGAAGGGCAGUAAGUUAAUACCUUGCUGUUUUGACGUUACCAACAGAAUAAGCACCGGCUAACUUCGUG
rnacentral:rRNA from 1 species